ACGAUGAAGCCCUGCUUGCAGGGUGGAUUAGUGGCGAACGGGUGAGUAACACGUGAGUAACCUGCCCCUGACUCUGGGAUAAGCCCGGGAAACUGGGUCUAAUACCGGAUAUGACUUCCUACUGCAUGGUGGGUUGUUGAAAGAUUUAUCGGUGGGGGAUGGACUCGCGGCCUAUCAGCUUGUUGGUGAGGUAAUGGCUCACCAAGGCGACGACGGGUAGCCGGCCUGAGAGGGUGACCGGCCACACUGGGACUGAGACACGGCCCAGACUCCUACGGGAGGCAGCAGUGGG
rnacentral:rRNA from 1 species